ACUCAAAUGAAUUGACGGGGGCCCGCACAAGCGGUGGAGUAUGUGGUUUAAUUCGAUGCAACGCGAAGAACCUUACCUACUUUUGACAUGUACUGGAAGACUGGCAGAAAUGUCGUCGCCCGCAAGGGCCGGUACACAGGUGCUGCAUGGCUGUCGUCAGCUCGUGUCGUGAGAUGUUGGGUUAAGUCCCGCAACGAGCGCAACCCUUGCUUUUAGUUGCCAGCAUUUAGUUGGGCACUCUAGAAGGACUGCCGACGUUAAGUCGGAGGAAGGUGGGGAUGACGUCAAGUCCUCAUGGCCCUUAUAAGUAGGGCUACACACGUACUACAAUGGUAGACACAGAGGGAAGCCAAGUCGCAAGAUGGAGCUAAUCCCUAAAAAGCUAUCUAAGUUCAGAUUGAAGUCUGCAACUCGACUUCAUGAAGGCGGAAUCGCUAGUAAUCGCGGAUCAGAAUGCCGCGGUGAAUACGUUCCCGGGCCUUGUACACACCGCCCGU
rnacentral:rRNA from 1 species